rnacentral:sRNA from 1 species
GCGCUCCACACAGAUUAAUUCUGAGCAUGAGGCCAUCACGAGGAUGAUGUAACACCAGUAGUUAAGAUUAAUAGGGAUAUUAAUUGUUAGCUACACAAUGGUGU